GCACGGUGGCGUAGUUGGUAGCACUGUUGCCUUGCAGGUCCUGGAUUCGAUUCCCAGCUGUGGGUCU